CUUUUUGUGGUCAUGAAGAGUCAAAUAAUCAAGGUAACUUUCUUGAACAGUUGAAGUUUCUAGCUGAUCAUAAUGAAAGGAUUAAAGCUGUCACUUCGAAAAAUGCUCCAAAAAGUCACAAACUAACAUCACCAAAAAUUCAGAAAGAUACUGUAAGUGCUGGAGCUGUUGAAACGAUUGAUGUUAUCAUCAAAGAUAUUGAUGAUACAUUCUUUUCAAUUUUAGUUGAUGAAUAUCAAGAUAUCUCAGUGAAUGAGCAAAUGUCCGUUGUUUUACGUUAUGUUGAUAAGACGGGACAUGUGGUUGAACGUUUUAUUGGGAUUGAGCAUGUUCCCAGUACUAUAGGUCUAUCACUUAAAGCAGCUAUAGAUAAAUUAUUUUCAAGAUAUGGGUUGAGUAUAUCCAGAUUGCGAGGUCAAGAUUAUGAUGGGGUGAGUUCAAAGGUCUCAAAACACUUAUUUUGUAAGAGAAUCCAAGUGCCUUUUAUGUUCGUUGUUUUGCUCAUCAACUUCAAUUAGCUCUUGUAGCUAUAGCAAAGAAGCAUAAGAAAGUCCAAAAACUCUUUAAUUUGGUUUCUAGCAUGGUGAAUAUUGUUGGAGCUUCUUCUAAACGUUGUGAUAUUCUCCGAGAGAAACAAGAAGCCAUAAUUUUUGAAGCACUCAUUAAUGAUGAGAUUUCAAGUGGGCGAGGUCUUAAUCAACAAAGCACUAUUGCACGUUUUGGUGAUACAUGUUGGGGAUCACAUUAUCGUACUUUGGUUAGUUUGAUUUUGAUGUUCUCAACUAUAAUUAAUGUCAUUGAAAUGAUUUCAAUUGAUGGAUCAACAUGUGAACAAAGAUGUGAUGCUGAUAAUUUAUUGGACUCAAUGCAGUCAUUUGAGUUUGUGUUUAAUUUACACCUCAUUGAAAACUAUCUUAGGAAUUUCCAUUGAAUUGUCUACGGCAUUACAAAGAAAAGAUCAGGAUAUUGUAAAUGCCAUGAGUUUAGUGACAGUAUGCAAACAAAGACUCCAAGAAAUGAGGGACAAUGAGUGGGAUUCUUUUUUGGAUGAAGUCGCUUCUUUUUGUCAAAAGCAUAAUAUUGAUGUUCCUGAUAUGGAUAGUGUGUUUGUACGCCCAGGUUGCUCACGGCGUAAUAUUGAAGAAAUGACAAAUUUUCAUCGCUACCGUGUGGAUUUAUUGUAUUUUGUCAUUGAUAUGUAACUUCAAGAAUUGAAUGAUCAUUUUUUUGAGGUAAGUACAGAGUUACUUCUUUGUUUAGCAUGUUUAUGCCCUGAUGAUUCAUUCUCUGCUUUUGACAAGGAUAAAUUAAUUCGUCUUGCUAAGUAUUAUCCUAAAGAUUUUUCAAAGGUACAGCUAAUGACACUUGAUGAUCAACUUCGAAACUAUAUUGUUGAUAUGCGCUCUAACAAGGAGUUCAGAGAACUGAAAGGACUUAGUGAACUUGCAUUGAGGUUGGUUGAGACCAAAAGAAAAAAAGUGUAUCCAUUAGUUUACAUGCUUGUGACUUUAGGAUUAACUCUUCCAGCUGCUACUGCUUCAAUUGAAAGAGUAUUUUCGACUAUGAACAUUGUGAAGAAUCGACUGCGAAAUCAAAUUGGAGACUAAUGGAUGAAUGAUAGCUUAGUUGUGUAUGUGGAAAAAGAUGU
rnacentral:lncRNA from 1 species